UACGUAGGGGGCAAGCGUUGUCCGGAAUUAUUGGGCGUAAAGAGCGUGUAGGCGGCCAUGUAGGUCCGGUGUGAAAACUCGAGGCUUAACCUCGAGAUGUCAUCGGAAACCAUUUGGCUAGAGUCCGGAAGAGGAGAGUGGAAUUCCUGGUGUAGCGGUGAAAUGCGCAGAUAUCAGGAAGAACACCAAUGGCGAAAGCAGCUCUCUGGGACGGUACUGACGCUGAGACGCGAAAAGCGUGGGGAGCGAACAGG
rnacentral:rRNA from 1 species